GAGAACCUGGCAGUGAAGGAAGGAAGGGGGCACCAGGAAAGCAAGGAGACAGAGGCCUUGAGGGUAAACGAGGCACUAUUGGGCACAAAGGAAGCACAGGAUCAAAGGGUAAAAGUGGCGAGGAAGGACCAAGGGGAAAACCGGGACCCCCAG